rnacentral:rRNA from 3 species
AAUCCAUAGGUUAAUGAGGCGAACCGGGGGAACUGAAACAUCUAAGUACCCCGAGGAAAAGAAAUCAACCGAGAUUCCCCCAGUAGCGGCGAGCGAACGGGGAGGAGCCCAGAGCCUGAAUCAGCAUGUGUGUUAGUGGAAGCGUCUGGAAAGGCGCGCGAUACAGGGUGACAGCCCCGUACACAAAAGCGCAUGUGCUGUGAGCUCGAUGAGUAGGGCGGGACACGUGGUAUCCUGUCUGAAUAUGGGGGGACCAUCCUCCAAGGCUAAAUACUCCUGACUGACCGAUAGUGAACCAGUACCGUGAGGGAAAGGCGAAAAGAACCCCGGCGAGGGGAGUGAAAAAGAACCUGAAACCGUGUACGUACAAGCAGUGGGAGCCCCACCACCAAAGCAUUUGCUGUACCGCGUUGACGGAGCGAAGCGACGUCAAACCGAU